CGCGGGCGGCGGGCCGGGGGCCGUCGUCCGCCCCCGCCGGACGGGCGGAGUUCCGCCUCGGGGCGUUCGACGAGCUGCCCCUGGC
rnacentral:tRNA from 1 species